rnacentral:rRNA from 1 species
AUUUUGGACAAUGGCGAAAGCCUGAUCCAGCAAUGCCGCGUGUGUGAAGAAGGCCUUCGGGUUGUAAAGCACUUUUGUCCGGAAAGAAAUCCUCUGGGUUAAUACCUCGGGGGGAUGACGGUACCGGAAGAAUAAGCACCGGCUAACUACGUGCCAGCAGCCGCGGUAAUACGUAGGGUGCAAGCGUUAAUCGGAAUUACUGGGCGUAAAGCGUGCGCAGGCGGUUUUGUAAGACGGAUGUGAAAUCCCCGGGCUCAACCUGGGAACUGCAUUCGUGACUGCAAGGCUAGAGUAUGGCAGAGGGGGGUAGAAUUCCACGUGUAGCAGUGAAAUGCGUAGAGAUGUGGAGAAUACCGAUGGCGAAGGCAGCCCCCUGGGCCAAUACUGACGCUCAUGCACGAAAGCGUGGG